UAGUACAUCCCUUAGAGUCCUGGAGAGUAGAGAAUAGCAGCUCCCACCAGUUCAGCUUCAACAUAAACCAUGUUCCCUGCAUCUCUGCUGCUGCUGGCAGCUGCCUCCUGUGUUCAUGGUCAGACACUGACUGAGUCUGGGCCAGUGGUUAAAAAGCCUGGAGAAUCACACAAACUGACUUGUACAGCCUCUGGCUUCACAUUCAGUAGCUAUGAGAUGAGCUGGAUCAGACAGGCUCCUGGGAAAGGACUAGAGUGGGUUGCUUAUAUAGGCACAUCUAGUAGUCCCAUCUCUUACUCCCAGUCAGUCCAGGGUAGAUUCACCAUCUCCAGAGAUGACUCCAGCAGUAAGCUGUACCUACAGAUGAACAGUCUGAAGAGUGAGGACACAGCAGUGUAUUACUGUGCUAGAGAGUCACAGUGGUUAAACUAA